UUCCUUCUGAAAAGCACUUGCUGGGUCUGUUAUCCUAUGGCCCAGGAAGUUGUCGUAGAAGGAUAUAAUAAUGCCACUGCUUUUGGGUGAGGUAGCAGCUUGUGCUGUUAUACCUCAAUCCGUGGUGCUACACAA
rnacentral:snoRNA from 1 species